GGGGAUGUAGCCCAGUUGGUAGAGUGCUUGCCUUGCAUGCGAAAGGCCCUGGGUUCAAUCCCAGCACCA
rnacentral:tRNA from 1 species